AGAAUCAACGCUGGCGGCGUGCCUAACACAUGCAAGUCGAACGAGAAAGUGGAGCAAUCCAUGAGUAAAGUGGCGCACGGGUGAGUAACACGUGACUAACCUACCCUUGAGUGGGGGAUAAACCUAGAGAAAUCUGGGCUAAUACCGCAUAAUACCUUCGGGUCAAAGGAGCAAUUCGCUUAAGGAGGGGGUCGCGGCCGAUUAGUUAGUUGGCGGGGUAAUGGCCCACCAAGACUGUGAUCGGUAUCCGGCCUGAGAGGGCGCACGGACACACUGGAACUGAAACACGGUCCAGACUCCUACGGGAGGCAGCAGUGGGAAUUUUGCGCAAUGGGGGAAACCCUGACGCAGCAACGCCGCGUGGAGGAUGAAGCCCUUGGGGCGUAAACUCCUUUCGAUCGGGAAGAUAAUGACGGUACCGAGAGAAGAAGCCCGGCUAACUUCGCGCCAGCAGCCGC
rnacentral:rRNA from 1 species